AACGCGAAGAACCUUACCUGGCCUUGACAUCCUGCGAACUUUCUAGAGAUAGAUUGGUGCCUUCGGGAGCGCAGUGACAGGUGCUGCAUGGCCGUCGUCAGCUCGUGUCGUGAGAUGUUGGGUUAAGUCCCGUAACGAGCGCAACCCCUAUCCCUAGUUGCUAGCAGUUCGGCUGAGAACUCUAGGGAGACUGCCGGUGACAAACCGGAGGAAGGUGGGGAUGACGUCAGGUCAUCAUGGCCCUUACGGCCAGGGCUACACACGUGCUACAAUGGCGCGCACAGAGGGCUGCAAACCCGCGAGGGGGAGCUAAUCUCACAAAACGCGUCGUAGUCCGGAUCGCAGUCUGCAACUCGACUGCGUGAAGUCGGAAUCGCUAGUAAUCGCGAAUCAGAAUGUCGCGGUGAAUACGUUCCCGGGUCUGUACACACCG
rnacentral:rRNA from 1 species